rnacentral:misc_RNA from 1 species
AAGGAUAUAUUCGGAACAUCUUCUACGAAGAUGAGGGAAUAACGUGACAUAUUGUAUUCAGUUUUGAAUGUUUAUUAGCAUUCAARUUAUAUAAUGGGCCUAUAGCUCAGCUGGUUAGAGCGCACGCCUGAUAAGCGUGAGGUCGGUGGUUCGAGUCCACUUAGGCCCACCAUUUAUUUGUACAUUGAAAACUAGAUAAGYAAGUAAGAUUUUACCAAGCAAAACCGAGUGAAUAGAGUUUUAAAUAAGCUUGAAUUCAUAAAUAAUCGCUAGUGUUCGAAAGAACACUCACAAGAUUAAUAACUAGUUUUAGCUAUUUAUUUUGAAUAACAAUUCAAAAUAUGGUGGAAACAUA